rnacentral:lncRNA from 1 species
CUGUUUGGAUUUAGUUUAGGUUCAAAAGAGCACGCACAGAUCCUGAGUGUUGUCAAGCACCCGUGACUGGGAAACGGAGGCGUCCGAUCCGUAUUGGAGUCAAUUCGCCACUUAAUUGAACACAGCCUCGAAGGGAAGGGCCAUAUUUGUGGGCCUGUCUAACAAUUAAGAGUGACCACAUGGAAUGGGGGAUGAAAGGGUUAAAGAAGAACAAAUAUUGAACACAGCUUUUCUAUGAACAAACUGCAGGCAGCUGCUGCUUUGCAAGGUAAGCAAGGCUGCGCCCUGUGUCUCAUAGCACUUACGGAAGACAGCUAAAAGGAUGGAGAAGAUCAUGGAGGCAGUGUGUGUGUGUGUGUGUGUGUGUGUGUGACAGAGAAAGAGUGAGAAUGUGUGUGUGUGUGAGAGAAUGUAUGUGUUUGUGUGUGUGAGUUUGUGUGAGUGUGUAUGAGAGAGAAAGAAUGAGAGAAUGUGUGUGUGUGUGUGUGUGUGUGUGUGUGCGCGAGAGAAAGAAUGUAUGUUUGUGUGUAUGAAUGUGUGUGUGAGUUUGUCUGUGUGUGUAGAAAGAGAGAACUGUGAGUGGGCUGGAGAUUCCUGGGGAAUAUUCUCACAGGUAUUUCCUCUGGCUGAUAGUCUCUGUGUUUACAUUCUUGAGACAGUGUAAACAACAAACUCCAUGUUGCAGAAAAGAGAGCAACACAGUUUAACUUUUAUAGCGCAGAGUUGCACAGUGUGGUGGAGUACACCCCUGAUCCUAGCAGCAAGAAGGCCAAAGUGAGAGGAUAACUUUCCAGCUUGGGCUACAUGAGAUCCUGUCUCACCCUCCCUUGCUUUUCUCCCCUGAAAGAACGUGGCUCAGAAGACAAACACAUCCUUUAAGCCCAGAAACCAUCAGGCAGAAAUUAGCUUUAUAGUUAAACCAAAGUGAAAGAGACGGGGGAAAAGAAGAUGCAUUCCUCUUAUCGAGAGCUGUGGGCCCGUGUACCAGAGGUUUUCCAUGGAGCUCUCUGGCCCGGCCUGGUGUGAGGGUUCUCUGCUGUCUGCUUACUCGACUUGGUUAUUCCAUGCCACCCUGCACUGAGUCGGUUUGGGCUGGGCCCAGGAGAGGCCUACUAACCAGUGAGGAGUGUGGUUGAGUUUCAGGCGUUUGGGGAGAGCAGACCUCUUCCCAAGUGUUUCAGCUCUUAGGACAGAAGGCUCAGACAACAGAGUGGUUCUCGCACACCUUUGAUCUUUCUGGAUAGGAUUCUUAUAUACAGUUUUGGGGUGGGUAAGGGUAUGACAACAAGUACUUCUCAUUGGUUUGGUCUGAGAGCUGUGGGGAAACCUUAUUUGCAUGUGGGAGGGCUUGAUGUUGCUCCUACGGUGACUGAUGGCCAUAUACCUCUGGUGUGUGUGUGUGUGUGGGGGGGGGGCUGUAGCUGCAACAGGAACUGGGAUGGGGAGGAGCCCAGGAGGCAUGGCUGAAAACCUUCUGUCCCAUGUAGGUGGAAAUUACUGCCUACCAGGUCACUGGAGUUCUAGACCUUUGGUCAAUAGGGGACCAGGCUAUGUAUGUACACAGCCCACUGCCCCAGUUUUAGCUGAAAACAGGAACCUUUAUCCCUAGAAGAAAGAAAUCAGAUAGGAACUGGGGAUGAGGUAUAUCAAGGCCGGACCAAUCACUCUUUUGUGUGUGAGCUAAUAGAUGGCUUUUUCUUCAAGUGUCACCAGAAUCAGAAAAGGUGGUCUAGGGAGAAGGACCAGUUUGUUCAUUAAUGUCCCAUGUAUCUCUAUAUGAAAAAGCUUUCAAGGGCAGAAGCUCUGUGUAUAUUUGUUACCCUUCAGGGCCACAAAUAACGGCUGAAGAAAUAGAUUUCGGAUAAAAUGAUACUCUAAAAGGAAAGUGCCAUCAUUUUGGCAAUGCAGUACUGCUCUUACUGUAGAGAGACUGUGCUUGAGAGACACACACUCAUGGUCUUUCACUCUCUCUUCAUUCAUCGAGGGGAACUUCUUGGCUGCCAUUUCUGGAUGUCAAGGCUGCAGAUACACUGGUCAGGACCCUGGGUAGAGAGAGAUGCGUCAGAAUGCGGCUCCUUUCAGAAAGGCUUCUCCGGAGGUUGGUGAGGUCAGCUGACUACUAGAAGACAGAUCUAUUUGAAGAUUUUUGUGGUGGUCUUUACUACUCCAGAGAUUUACAGCUGAUGAAAAAUGGAGAAGUACAUGACCCUACCCUGCUGUUGGACAUGCUACCCAAGGAUCAUGACUGACAACUUGUCAACAUCACUAUUGCUUAUUUAAUAAAUGUGCAGUACUACUUCAAUAAACCUGGAAUCAUAAAAUUUUAGAGAACAAACCUUAAA